rnacentral:rRNA from 1 species
GAUGAACGCUGGCGGCGUGCCUAAUACAUGCAAGUCGAGCGAACAGACGAGGAGCUUGCUCCUCUGACGUUAGCGGCGGACGGGUGAGUAACACGUGGAUAACCUACCUAUAAGACUGGGAUAACUUCGGGAAACCGGAGCUAAUACCGGAUCAUAUAUUGAACCGCAUGGUUCAAUAGUGAAAGACGGUUUUGCUGUCACUUAUAGAUGGAUCCGCGCCGCAUUAGCUAGUUGGUAAGGUAACGGCUUACCAAGGCAACGAUGCGUAGCCGACCUGAGAGGGUGAUCGGCCACACUGGAACUGAGACACGGUCCAGACUCCUACGGGAGGCAGCAGUAGGGAAUCUUCCGCAAUGGGCGAAAGCCUGACGGAGCAACGCCGCGUGAGUGAUGAAGGUCUUCGGAUCGUAAAACUCUGUUAUUAGGAAAGAACAAAUGUGUAAGUAACUAUGCACGUCUUGACGGUACCUAAUCAGAAAGCCACGGCUAACUACGUG